rnacentral:lncRNA from 1 species
GGUCCUGCCACUCCACUUCUUUGAGCUGAGGAAGAAUUCUUCAAGGUCAGCACUCAAUGCUGCUUCUCUAUAAGGAGCCUGGGAUCAAUAAUGGAUGCUCCUGAGGGCUUCUCAUUCCUCCAGGGUCAGCCAGGGACAGUUUCCUCACUGUGCUACAACUGGGGACCAAUAAUGGAUGCUAUCUAUGUGAUUUAUGCGCUCUACAGAAGUCCGUUGCCUGCCUCUCUGGAUGAUACCUUGAACCAUUGUGAGUGAUAUAGUCAAUGUUGUUUUCUUUAUUGGAGUUUAUUUUCUAAAACUAGUAUCCAGUGUAUUUAAAAAAUAUAUCUAUAAUCUAAAAUGUCCACACAUUCCAUCUUUAAUAUCA